UUUUUUUUUUUUUUUUUUUUUUUUCGUGAAGCUCUAAUAUUAUUGUGAGAUGUGAAGAAAGCAAGCCAUAUUUUUCAAAGGAAAGCAAUAAAUAAAUGCCUUCAUUUCUUGAUUUGAAAAUAAAAUUCCUAUAAAAUCAAAAGUGAUAAUAUGUAUGGCAGUAUUUGUGCACUAUAUUUAUUUUACUACUGGGUGAUGCCAGUCCUCACUCACAUCCUGAUAAGAAAAGCUAUCUAAGGGUAAACCCAUCUUCUUUGUUCCUUAACCACCCAUUUGAUAUGCCAAAAAUUAUAUUAAUAAAUAAAUAUAGAAAGUUAUUUUAGUAAUAUAUUUGUUAACUUUUAUAUUUGGAGGCCUAUUUCAGAAGAACUUCCACAUACUUGAAUAUACUUUGCAAAUGUAAAUUCAAGUAUAUUAUACCAUUUUUUGAUGGUAUUUUUUUUGCCUGGGUAAAUGGUUUCAUGUCAUAGAACAAAAGUAGCUUUUAGUUCCCAAUCUGAAAUUUCAGUUAUGCGCAGCAUAAUUAUUUCACAGUUAUAACUAACAACUUUUUUAUUUUAAAAAAAGAAAAAAAAAUGAAAUAUAUAAGCUACAGUAAUAAUGUAAAUAUUUUUCCUUGUAUAAUAGAAAUAAGAGUAUGUAUCAUUUAAUAGUAUUUUAAUAGUAACAUGUAGUCUUUCAACCAAACUUUUGUGACCUAACCUCACCCUCUACAUGCAGGUGUCAAAUACACUAACAUACAUCCAGAAUAAAUACCAUCCACUGCUCCAAGUUAACAAACAUCCUGCAAGCAGUCAAUUUACACCAAAUUUCUACACAUGUCUGUUUCAGGUUCUUUCUAUUUCAAUUGUUUCUGUUAUACCAAAAAGGAAAUUGGAGAGGGUAGCAUAUUAUUAUUGUAUGUUAAACAACUAAGUAACAUGUUUUAAUAGGGAGACCCAGAAUUUUCCUGUUAUGAAGCAGAAAAUCAAAAAUAUAUUUUUGGUGUUAGGUAUAUCAUCCUUCCUCUGAAAUAAAGGUUGGAAUUUGAUAAGGUCUAACCUUCAAAAGCCUCCAAAUCAAAUUUAGGCAUUAAAGCUAACAAGAUUUUCGAAAAUCUAGUACAAAGAAGCUGGACACCUGAAAGAUGUAAAGUAUUACUCAGAUACUAAGUAUUAUUAUUUAAAAUGCUGAAAUAUUUUAAAACAACCAAAAUAUUGACUAAGCUUCUUGAAUUUCCUUUUAUGAUAUGAAGAAAUUUCACCAUAGCAGGGUACUGAGAUUGCUCUCUGUACACUUCUGGAAUGUGGGCCAGCGCUGGUGGUGGGGAUCUCAGCAGCAGUGACAUGAGAGUUCAGGUUCAGAGAGCUGUUGAGCCUACACCAAGACUCGGAAAGGCAUUGCAAGGGUACCAGGUCACAGUGCCAGCAUUGCUGGAUCCACGCUUUUGAAUCUCUGCCACCUAUAGCAAUGAGGAUUUCUGCCAGAGCUCCAAGCUGCCAUUAGGGUUAGGGGUAGGUUGUAGAGAGUAAAAGGUGCAAAACAUACACCAAGAGGAUCAUGUCAGAGCCACAAGGCUGCUGCCUCUUCACUUUGCAAAUUGGUUUCAUGUUUGGGGAUGGGCACCUCUGCUGUGCUCUCAAGACUGCUUAUGGGUUAGCAUGAAAAAUCAUUUUAAUCUCUGGCCCCUGUGACAAUGAGAACCUCUGCCACAGUGCCAAGCUGCCAUUAGGGCUAGGGUUAAGGUUAAGGUUAGGAUUUGGGUUAGGGUUGAGAGAAUAACAGAGCUUACAGCUCCAGGAUCACUGUGGCUGGAAGAGACAUCCCAAGGUGAUCGUGGUAGGGUCCCAAUCUAGCUGCUCCUACGUCUUUCUAAUCUGGACUACCCAUGGUGACAGGGACCUCAGCCCCAGCAACAAGAUGCUUUUAGGCUAAGAUUUAGAGUUGGGAGAGUAAAAGAGCCUAGAACUCCAUGGACACUGGGGCUGGAAAACACAUGCCAAGAGGACCACAGCCAGGGCAUAACUCAGCUGCCUCCUCACCUUGCAGAUUAGCUUCAUGCAUGGAGAUGAGCACCUCCGCUGUAGACCUCAGCUUGCUGAUAGGUUAAUGUGAAAAAAAACCAGUUGAAAAUUAAUAGCACUUGUUAAGCAAACCUUAGGUAAUAUCUUCCUAUAAUCCUAGUUAGUGUCUUUCUAUAUAGUUUGUGGUAACAUCGAAAGAUUUGCAUUUUAGAUUAAAAAAAGGAUUAAAAUAAAAUUCUGAAUUUAUCAAAGAGAUUAGCAUGUCCUGACCUCAAUAUAUUUGAUGUGAUGUUUAAUUUAAAUUAGUGUUUUACAUGACACUUAAUGAGAUAAUUUUGGAACAUAAUAGCAAUAUUGAAUGAAAUCUUGAACAAGGCUAUGAUUCAGACUAAUAACCUGAAGCCAUUCUAUGGCAAUGGUGCUGCUCAUUAUAAGCUACAGCCUGAGAGUUACUUCCUUAUGGGUAGAAUCUGAAGAAGAAUUAAUUUUGCAAAAUGAGUAGGGUCAGAAUAAAGUUACUUCUGGAAAUCUCUCUUGACCAGGUAAGUUGAAAUUGGAAGGAGACUGGACAGAAAGAGAUUUGGCUGCUACUUAACAAUUAAUUUUCUUAAUCUAUUUAUCAUGGUAUCUUUGAAUUAUGUACCAAUUAUUCCAUGUGCUACUGUAAGGCCCAAGUAUGAGAAGCAAGUGAACUAAAUUAUCUGGCAUUUGUCUUCAUGAGCUUCUGAGCUGUCAUAAGCUCUCUAGCACAGCAUGUGCCUUCAGUUGACACUUCUGCAAAAGUGACUUUGCAGCUUGAGCUUUUGUAGCAGCUCUUGUGUGUAGAGUGAUUGGGCAGGUCUUUGUGGCUGCCUUAGCUUGGUUACAGACUGACAUGAAGAGCAUGUCUUUCAUGCCUUUCAAGAACGAUGUGAACUUUGAGUCAGCUUUUAGGCCUUUCAUAAUUGUUCAGAUAUAAAGUGAAGACUUCAGUGAGAAAAUGAACUUUCAUUAUCCUGAAAAGCUAUAAUGGGUGCCAGAUAUAAAAUCAAAUUAAUAUUUAAUUUUUUUUUAACCAGUUUACCAUUUAAAUAUAAGGAGAGUAUAGCGAAGUGCCAAUAGUCUGUUUCUGGCUAUGCAGAACUCCUAAGUGUUUUCUGUGGAGCAGAUGCUCCUGGGAAGGAAUUUUUUUUUUAUUUUUUGGUAAGUAGUUGAAAUGGAUUUGCACUGAAUAGUGUGGUGAUGUCAGAGGGAGUUGGAAUUCACAAUACUGUGCAUGCCUCAAGUUUUAAUCUUCAGACUUGCAUAGUUUAAAAUUACAUCUGUCUGGAAUGUACCACUGAAAUGAUUUUUCCAACACUGUCUCCUGAUCCAAUGAGCUUUAAAUUAUUUCUUCAUGAAUUUUCAUGAGAAAAUUAAACUAGAUUUUGUUGCUAUGAAAGAAGGGAAAAUACAACAUUUAUAACCGCAGGAAUCAGACUCUCAUUUAACUAUAUUUAAAAUGUAAUUCUGAACCCUUGCUCUCAUUCUAUAGUGUCGUUCUCCUUAUAAAAGAGAAAGUAAGCCAAGAAUGUAUUUAUGGCCUACAGUAGCUGAAACAGCAGUUUGUUGGAAAGAUCGUGCCACAGCAACUGUGGAUGUGGGCUGGUUUUGGUGCCUGCCCCCCCCCAUUCCUGCCAGUUGCCAGGCAACACUGGCAGUCCCAGUAUGUCCUACACUGCAGAUCAAGCUUCCUCUGCACAUACCUUUUUUCAUCGUGACUUUAGCUAUUCCUGAUUCCAGCACAAUGGUGGUCUCUUUUUACACUGGAGCUGCCUUUAUAACCUAUUGAAGACCCCUCUAGUAACAACAAUUUACCCUUCACAUUCCUUUUCACUUCCAAUGUAACCUACAAAUACAGAAAUUGCUCUGUGAAAUACAAUCAUCUUUUGGAACAAAUGACUGUUUUGUCACAGCAGCAGAACUCACAGCUUUUUGGGAUAUAUAAUGAGAAACAAAACAGCUAUUUAAACGAUGGAAACAGCCUCUACAGUGGAUUUAAGUAGUCAGGAUUUAAUUAUACAGCUAUAGUUUAGUUAGAAUGAGGUUAAUGCUGCUGCUCUGAAGAUACUUUGUUUUCUUUAUGUCUGCUUUGAAAAUCAGGGUCAGUAAAGUUAUUUGGAAGCUAUUCAAACAAAAAGAGCACUGCCACUUAGCACUGCAACUUUUUGUAGUGUAUUUAAAAAUAACAGAUUGUCAUCUCAGUCUGUGUUAGAAAGAUGCAAGUUUUCCUCUGGCAGUCACUAAUUCAGUAAAUAACUUGCAUAAUAAGAUGGAUUUUCAAGUCACAAAGGUUUAGUAGUAGGCUGGGGUACCUGUAACCCUGUUCACGAGCUUCUCCUCAUGAACAGUUGUUGCAUAGGCUUGUUUGCUUUCUUAGUGAUACUUCUCAUCUUAUUUGGAUUGAAGUCUCUUGCUACUAUAGCUGGCAAUAUUAGUGUCAGAAUUAUUGUUGGCAGGCUGUAAAAAAACAGGAUCUGAAAGAAAGGACAGCAUCAGAAGCUAGUGAUUAGCAAAGAACACACAAUGCAUUACUCACAUUUGUGUAUCCAUAGACACUUUAACAACCUUGUUUUAAGAGCUAGGAUUAUUCACUUCAAAUAUCACUGCCCCCAUUAAUACCACAAUACUUUGGUUAUAAGUGCUGUUAUCUGAAACAUGGAUAUAAUAGAAACCUCUGAAUAAUAAAUAUGCAAUAAUUCUUCUGGGACAGUUUGAAUUCAAACUACAGUUGUACAAUUGUAGUUGAAGGCAAAAUCAUGUGAUAAAAGGGUGUCUCUUGCUCUACCUCAAACUUUAAAUUUAUUACUACAAGUAACACACUGUUAGCAGUUUGAAGCAGAAGAUCCAAAUACCCUGCAAGCUUUAUUGGCUGGAAUCUUGUGAAGAAUGCUAUCAUUGGUGCUAUUGUCAUCCUUCUGGAGUGAUAAGUGUCCAGUUUUGUAGUUACAGGUUGUUGCAAUAGAACCUGUUCAUGUUACUGCAACCUGGUUUUAUACUGCUGUAAACCUUCUCAUGCCUGUGUUUGUCAAGUCAUGAAGCUGCUUAGUAGGCUGUAGUUCACUUUGAUAAAGUACAGGCAAGGAGGGCUGCUCAGCAAAAAGAUUUUGUUGAAAUGCAGACAUUAUAAAUCCCUGGUCAUAUUUUAAAAAGGAAAACAACUGUCUUUUAAAUGUCUAUUUAAAUAUUAUGCAGCUUGUGUAAGUGUGCUAAAAUCUUUUCAAAGGAUUCCUCUUCAGAGUAAUUAGGAGGAGAAGGAGGUACCAUUUAAACUGUUCUUAUUUCUGUCAUAGAAUGUAAAUAACCCUCCAGUUUGGAAGAAAUCAAGUUUUCUAAAUUCUAUUUACUUGAGCCUAUGAUGGUUUAGUGAUCUCUUCUUGACAUAAGCAUCCAAGUUUAGGAGUCAAACAAUAUCUAAUUUUAUACUUGGGCUCAAGCAGGUAUGGUAGUGCACAGAUCUGCUUAAUGGCAGCUUCCUAAUAAUGCGACAAUAGACAUUAUGAGUUCAGUUGGCAGCCACCCCCUCACAGCGCCACCUACACAUUGCCAGAACCCAAAGCUGAAAUUUUAGAUUUAUAUUACGAGACAUAUAAAGCCAUUAAGAAAAACCUCUUCCUGUCAGUGACAAGAUGCUUUCAGAGCACUUUUUUCCAACCAACAAAUGAUCUUGAUUGGAAUCUUGGUACCACAUUAAUAUAUCAGUCUAGUGAUAAUUUUGCCUAUUUGUGAUAGGGAGGAAGUAAAAAUUUGAAGCUAUUAGAGUUGCAGCCAAUGAAACUCAAAUUUCUUCUCAAUCACUUUAACUCUUUUGAUCCUGUUAAUGUUUUUAAUUUCGCAGUGAAUACAUUUUUAUGCCUUGUAAGUUAGAAGAUAAAAUAUUUCAGUAUUGGAGUGUUAUACAAGAAGAGUUGCAUGCAGAAAGCUUUUAAACAUAACAUUAUUAAUUGAAGAAAAAUUCUCUAAAUAUAACAUUCUAGUCUUUAAAUUUAUGUGACUUAGCAAAUGAAUAUUUCCACUAUUAGAAAUUAUUUCUGUUUUUCUUUACUUGAAGUUGUAGCACUCUAAACCAAAGUUCAUUACAUGUCUGAAAAUUACCUUGUCAGGUAGGAGAGAAGUAGCUUGAUAGUCUCGCUUUAACUGUUCAAAAAGUGUGCUGCUCAAAAACUGUUUUGGUGAGUCUUAGGAAUUUCCCCAUACAUUGUUGUAUUGUUUAGAAGCCUCACAACCUAAUUUUUUUUCAUGUUUCAUUUUUUUUGUACAGCAAUGAAGAAAAGGUUACAAACAACUAUUACAUCAUCUCUACAAAUCUCAAAAACCACCAGAACUUAAAUGGGGGAAGAAGGCUGUGUGUUACUACAUAAUACAAAAGCUCUGCCUGCUCCUUUAUACCUGUGCAAUGGGACUCAUAAGGUUUCAGCACUAAACAUGUCACAGUUACUGGGUUGCACUGGAACCCUAUUGGCUUGACUUGCUCUUGUCCAACCAAGUUUUGAGGCAGGAAAAUUAUAACAAUUUGUUAAAACUUAAAAACUUAAAGCCUCAGCAGCCUCCAUUUUAAUAUACCUGUCAUGGGUAGAACUUGAAUUUUUAUGCCAGCUUCAGGAAACUUCUUUAUGUGCCUAAUAUAGAAUCACAAGAUAAAUUAGUAAUGUAAUGAAAAGUUAGUCCUGGAUUGCUGAUAAUGAAAAUAUCUUUCCAGUAAUUCUUCACUUGCAAGUAAUGUAAUUUUGAAUAAUAUUUUGAGGUUAAAAUUUGGUCUGUCUCUGAUAUGAAGUAGAUUCACCUGCCCAGGUUCAAACUGGGAUGCUGACUGUGUGAUAUUGGCAGUAAGGCAAUGACAUGUUAUUAUCAAUGGCAUUUAUUUAAAGGCUGAUUAAAUGGUAAAUGUAAUAUGACAGGAAAAAAUCAAAAUCAAAUUACAGUGUAUCAAUUCAUAUUAAUGCUCACUCCAUUUAAGUCAAAACAUUUUCUUUGAUGCAGACUUGGAGGGUCAGAAUAGCUUCUUAGAGUCUACAUUCACCUCUGAGAUGAGACUCUUUUUUCUUGUAAGUGCAGACUGACAUUCUUCCUUCACCAGCUCAAAAAUAACCUAGCAGCUGCACAGGAGUUGGAACCUUCUAAUUAGCUCUAAGAAGCCUGAAGGAAGGACGUAGCAGAUUUUGAGAAGAAAAAAUAAGUCAAUUGGAGCAAUAGAUUUUCUGAGUUUUGGACAUCUAAAAUUAAUUUUAGUUCUAAUAAUGUUAGUGGGUAUGUUGCCAUCCUCUUCACUUGAAAUGGCAUAUGGCCCUCCAUGAGGUGCCAUUUGGGAGGCUAUUAUAAGCAGUCUGGUAACUAGAAUUAAAGAUUCUUUACCACUAAUGGCUGAUUCUCAGCUGGACAGUGAAAGACAAAGUGAGGGAUAAAUGGUGAAGGAAAAAAAAGAGAUCAUUUUAAAGAAGUAUUUAAGAGUUGACUACAGCUCCUUUAUAGAUGUUAAGGAUUAUUGUGUAUUGUGUUAUCCCUUAAGAGAGGUUUAAAGUUUGGGUAUUUCAGUCAUUAAAAAAACAUCCAGGACUUUACAUAUUUUGAAAAAAUUGAUGUCUGUUGACUGUGUUGACCCUCUGUAACAAUAUCCUUGGGUUUUUCAACAAAAACCACUCUUCUGAAGGAUCUGCCCUUAUGUCUAAAACUGGUUGUUUAUUUAAACCAUAAUGUUUGCAAAACAGGAAGCAUCCAAAAUGAAAACUAUGUACUGAUGUAUUAAAGUGAAGUUUUUUUUUUUUCAAAAUAAAUAAAAUGGAAGGGCUUACAAGAUGAAUACCUUACUGAAGCAGAAAGCUGUGACGAACUUUUCAUUUUUCUACUAAGUGAAAAAAAAAAAAAAA
rnacentral:lncRNA from 1 species